CUCUCAUGAAGCAUCACAGCUGUCGAAUUGCCCCCAGCCGCACUACGGGACAGUUCAGAUUAGACAAUGAAAAAGAAUCGCAUGUCCAGUCUACAGGAUGGAGAAACUUGCCAGCAAGACAAAUGAAGUCAAGGGAGGUUCUGGCAGCCGGAUGAGGCGGGCAGGCGCACUGCAGGAGAGCUUCCAUAACGUUCCAUAAAAGCAAACACCAGCCAAAUGGCUCUGACAACAAGAUUAACUACACAAACCAGGUUUGCUACAUUUUAGCUUUAAAACACUCCUUUGAAGUAAGUAGAUCAGGAAUUAUGGCAGUUAUGCUGAUGAGGAAACUGAGGCCCAAUGAAAUUCUAUGACUACCCAGAAAUCCAUGGAAAACUAGCAUCAGACCCCAAGCUGGCCCCACGGAGCCACACAAGGACCCUCCCAGCUUCUCUCCUCACGGGCGGCUUAACCGUUCUGUUGCCUCUGUGACCAGCGCGAUGCUUCUCGAAUGUCAGGAGGGAUUUCUUUUCUCCAUGAUUGCAAUGACUGUCACGCCUCCUUAAUUCACAGAUUCUCUACUCGCAAAUUUGCCUACCCGCUAAAAUUUAUUGUAACCCCCAAAUCAAUAUUCCAUGCUUGUGCUACUUGUGGACGUGCAGAGAGCGGCAAAAAAUUUGAGUCGCCCUUUGCACACAUUCCCAACUGAGGUCAAACCAGGUGUCGCUUUACCUUCUUGUUUCAGCUGUCAGACUGGAAACUCGUGUCCUUUUAAUGGUCUAUGUAGUGCCUCACCUUUUGCAUUUUUGUUGGUGAUUUUGCUGUUUAAAAUGGCCCCCAGGUGUAGCGCUGAAGAGCUAUCUAGUGUUCCGAAGCACAGAGAAGAUAGACGUUAAGUAUGCUUUCUUCAGGCAUGGGUUAAAGUGCUGUUGGCUGUGAGUUCAUACUGCUGGACUGAUGAAAAUGUUAUCAGUGGGCCAGCCCUGGUGGCUAGUGGUCAAGUUCCACACACUCUGCUUCAGUGGCUGGGGCCCAGUUCCAGGCGUGGAGCUAUGCCGCUUGUCUGUCAG